ACAUUCUGGUUUCUCUUCAUAUCGCAUAAAUCUUUCGCCUUUUACUAAAGAUUUUGGUAGAGCGGAACAAUUAUUAGUAUCAACAAAAACAAAAUUGAUGCUGGGCUUCCUGUAA
rnacentral:snRNA from 1 species